ACGGCCACCUAAUGUGGAAACACCGGUUCCCGUACGAUCACCGAAGUUAAGCAACGUCAAGCAUGACCAGUCCCUAGAUGGGUGGACGUUUGGGAAUAUCAUGUGCAGUAA